CCUGUACUUUCUAUAAUAGUGAUGGAGUGACGGAGAAGGAUAGGCUUACCUCUUACUGGAUUGAGGGGCAAAUAGUUACUGGGAAUUGUAGUAAAAUGCGCAAUUCAUUAACCGGAAGCUAUGACGCAUAGGCUUNNGCUGAAUUAGUUGAUUUCAUACUUCCUAGAAAAGCUUCUAAACUUAAUAUUAUGGAAACCUGUACCGAGAACGGACACACGUCCCCAAGAUGAGUAUUCUAAGGCGAGCGAGAAAACUAGUGUUAAGGAACUCUGCAAAAUGACCCCGUAAGUUCGCAAGAAGGGGUGCUCACGCAAGUGAGCCACAGAAAAUUAUGAGGGGCAACUGUUUAUCAAAAACACAGCUCUCUGCUUAAACCGCAAGGUGAUGUAUAGGGGGUGAAGCCUGCCCAGUGCCCGAAGGUUAAGUGGAUGCGUUAG
rnacentral:rRNA from 2 species